AUUAGUUGGGAAUUUCUGAAUGUAGGAGGGUGUUGAAGCCUUGGCAGAAGAUGUUCUAGCAAAGCCUAUACCUUCCAAGCGUUCAUCAAAGAGGAACAGAGCAGCAGAAGUUCAUAAUUUAGAAGAAGGAGUAGGAUCAAUAAAAAAAUGAAGGCCUUGCAACAUCUAAGUCAGAAUUCUAUCAAGGGCUGAUGUGAUUCAAAGUCGGCUAAGAUGAAGCUAGCGAGCUUUAGUGUCAUCAACUCAUCAAGUCUACAUAUGGCAUCAAUGAAUAUCUAAAAUUUUUUUUAGUAUUACGAAUAUACAAGCUUUAAUUGGAGAAAAAGAGAUUAGAGGAGGAUGCUUUUGUUUAUAAUUCACUUCAACAACAGCCUAAACUCUCACCAGUGUACCAGAAGAUGCUUGAAGUUGGGUCUUGCAUGGACAAGGUGAAAUCCUGUGAACUGGUAGAGAACAGAGACGACAAAUUUGCUGACAUUUCUUUUGAAGAAUUAUUAGCACAAGAAAAAAAGGUUUCAUUCUUGCAAAAAAAUGGGAAAUAAAGACCAUGCUGAAGCUAAUAACAGUUUCUGGCAUGGCUAAAUGUAACCAGAAUUUGUUUAAUAUGAAAAUGAGAUACAACAUAGAACCAUAAGACUGAUGAGUAUGAAAGAAUCAACCUUCUCAUGGUCCCCAAUGUUUUGAAAGCCAUCCUCAAUAGAGCUUCCAAACACAGAGGACUUCUCAGGACACCACUGAAGCAUAUGCAUAAUUGUAGGUUAAUAUUCACGGUAGAAAAAUCUCCAUAGUUGACCACUGAUAAACCCAUAUUUUAUGAUAUAUUUUGUGCUUAAAUUGAGUGAU